GAUUCAGGUAUUACACUUCUGACACUUGGUGGUGUGUUGAUUUUCCUGGCCGCAACGUUAUUCUUCACAAGUGUUAUAUUCUUUAUAAGGGCCAAAAGGAUAAGGAAAGAGACAGAAAUGGUAUCAAUAAGGAACACUUAUGAUAAAGUUACUUUCAAUGCAGUAUCUGCAGCUACUUACUCUUCUCUUGAUAAUUUAACAACUACUUAUCACCGUUCUUUAGAAAAGCAAGACAGUGAUGGCUAUGUGGAGCCUGGGCCUUUUACAGAACGAAAUAUAAGGGCAUUUUAAACCCAUUUUUAUGAAAAUAAA